rnacentral:rRNA from 1 species
UACGUAGGGUCCAAGCGUUAUCCGGAAUUACUGGGCGUAAAGAGUUGCGUAGGUGGCAUAGUAAGCAGAUAGUGAAAGCCCACGGCUCAACCGUGGAUACAUUAUCUGAACUGCUAAGCUAGAGUGCGGGAGAGGUAUCUGGAAUUCCCAGUGUAGGAGUGAAAUCCGUAGAUAUUGGGAGGAACACCGAUGGCGUAGGCAGGAUACUGGCCCGUUACUGACACUAAGGCACGAAAGCGUGGGGAGCGAACGGG